rnacentral:rRNA from 1 species
GACGAACGCUGGCGGCGUGCUUAACACAUGCAAGUCGAACGGUAAGGCCCCUUCGGGGGUACACGAGUGGCGAACGGGUGAGUAACACGUGGGUAAUCUGCCCUGCACUUCGGGAUAAGCCUGGGAAACUGGGUCUAAUACCGGAUAUGAGCUCCUGCCGCAUGGUGGGGGUUGGAAAGUUUUUCGGUGCAGGAUGAGCCCGCGGCCUAUCAGCUUGUUGGUGGGGUAAUGGCCUACCAAGGCGACGACGGGUAGCCGGCCUGAGAGGGUGAUCGGCCACACUGGGACUGAGACACGGCCCAGACUCCUACGGGAGGCAGCAGUGGGGAAUAUUGCACAAUGGCGAAAGCCUGAUGCAGCGACGCCGCGUGGGGAUGACGGUCUUCGGAUUGUAAACCCCUUUCAGUAGGGACGAAGCGCAAGUGACGGUACCUGCAGAAGAAGCACCGGCCAACUACGUG